UGGAGUCCUCCCUCAUUGUGACCUCAUGAACAGCUGCCCACACAGCUGACCUUUAGCCCUCAGCCCUCCAGAACUGGAGCAUAUGCAGCAUGCCCCAAAGCCCCCAUCACAAAGCACAUUGCUAAGCUGUCCAGUGGCCAAAGCCCCAGGAAUCUGGUGUUUUUGGAUGCAGAAUGUGCUGUGGAAGACUCCAAAGACACCUGGAGGACAGCACUGUAUGCAUACUCCAGUCCAAAGCUUCCAUGAAAGCUCCCUUGUCAGCAAGGAAUGCAGCAAGUCUCUAGGAGACGAGGAAAUGAGCAAGCAAAGCCUUGGUAAAACCGUUGAGAUGGAAGCUGUACUUACAUUAAUGCUUCUGUUACAAUUCAGUGAAGUUACAAGAAGCAACAAGAAAUUGCUGAUUAAAUCUCAGUGGGCAGAGGUUCUUGUGUGACUUCCCAAACUACAAACAAAGCUGGGUGAUGCAUAAGACACACCUCUGUCUCCCAAAGACAGAAAGAGACUCUACAGGAGGGGUGUCUCCAGGGACCUCGUCCCCCAGGGCGGUAAAGACAGUGAGCUAUAGUGAGUUGGAUGCAUAGUAGAGACAGCCACUGGGUCGUUGUCAUCUCUCUGUGGCACGGGGAGUCAUUACAGGUGUUGCUAAACAAUGGAAAAUGUGCCAUUGGGGGAAGCUUGGAGUGAUUAUUUAGAUGAAGGCUCAGAAGAUGGGUUAAAGAAGACAGUCUUCUAAAAAUAAGUAAGCCAAAUUAUCCUUCAUGUCAAUUUAUUUAGCCACUGAUGGAAAAAGCCUCUUAGAAGGAAGGAUGAUUUGCAUUUCUGGAGACUGGUGGUCACUACUGCUGGGGGAGGUUUUGCUGAUUCUGUCCAGGCUCUGAUCACAGACCUGCUUUUGGCUGCCGCAGGCUGGUCUGUGGGACUAGAGUGACAUGCAUCCCAGGACCCACAGUUUUCCAGCUUUCUGACUCACUCUUUUUUUCAUUUAAGUGAUACCAAUUGCCCAGGAAAAGGCUUUUCUGGACAAAUAUGGC
rnacentral:lncRNA from 13 species